CCUGUCCUCCGACCACCGAUACUUCUGCUUCAGGGACGUUCUGGGCGGCAACCGCCGCGCCGGAUUAGCAGCCCGCCAGCAGGGAUCUACCUCCGCUACUAGAUCUGAACUGGACAUUAAGACCAGAGGCUCCCGCGGUAGACGCUGACGCCUCCCGCUCCGCGUCUGAUUUUAAUAACCUUUUAAACCUAAACUGUUUGUCUGCCUCGAAUACUGGGUCCACUUGUUCCGAGCCUAACAAAAAACCCAGGCAGUUUGACUACAUUUUUGUCAAAGUUGUCUAAUAAAACGAAAUUAAGGAAUUAAUCCAAAUCAAGUGCUUCCAGCUGAUCACCAGGAGCACAUAUUUGAGAAGCAGUUUUACCUGGUUCUCUACUUGACCUGGGAACAAUGAAAAGUUCCUCUCUUACAUCUAAAUAAUACUUCAGAAGACUGAAGAUACAAGACUGCCCAUCACAUUUUCUAAGAAACAAAACUUUGAGUCUUUGCCUUUGCACGUGUAACAAAUCACAAAGCAACAUAAUAUCCAGUGUUCUUUUAAGGAAAAUAUACAUGUAUACAUAUAAGUUAUAUUAUCACAAUCUAAAACUCAUAAAAAGAUCUAAGUGUUUGUGUGAGAAAAUCAGAAUUUGAACAGAUAAAUAUUUUGUUGGUUAAUCUAAAAGGUUCGGGUUCUCACUGAAAUGCUCAAGUGCUCAACUUCCUUUUAGCAUGUGGGACUUCUGAAACAUUUAAUCACAAAAGCUUUGUUUGUGGUCUCAAGAUUGGCUUAAAAUGAACACAGUAAAACCAGAGUAGUGGUUUCAGUAUUAUUUGUCCUCUGGUUUUGAGUCCUGCUAACUUUACUGACUGCAGUACCAUGAGUCAUACAUGUGUAUACCUCUGGGAGUACAGUCCUAGGCAGAAAGCACAUUUUUACUGUAAUAAUGAAGCACUUAUAAUAAGCAGAGUGAUGCUCAAUAACUAUUAUAGGUAACUAUUAUAGGUAAUGACAGUAUUGAUUGAUGAUACUCAACUAUAUCUAUCAAUACUUCCUGAUGAAUUCAUUCAGAUAGACAGGCUACAGGCAUAGCAUAGAUAUGAAAACCUGGAUGACUUUCAUUUUUCUGCUUUCAAAUUCUGACCAGACAGACGUUUUCCUCUUUGGAC